UUUAAGUGUAUGCAAUCAUGUCUGGGAGGUGGAGCGUGUGCGAUAGGACCCGAAAGAUGGUGAACUAUGCCUAGGCAGGGCAAAGCCAGAGAAAACUCUGGUGGAGGCCCAUAGCGGUCCUGAUGUGCAAAUCGGUCGUCCGACCUGGGUAUAGGGACGAAAGACUAAUCAAACAUCUAGUAGCUGGUUCCCUCCGAAGUUUCCCUCAGGACAGCUGGUGCUCAGAGUCUCACAGUUUUAUCUGGUAAAGCAAAUGAUUCUUGGGGCCGAAACGAUCUCAACCUAUUCUCGAACUUUAAAUUGGUAAGAAGCCCGACUCGCUGGCUUGGAGCUGGGUGUGGAAUGCGAGCCGCCUAGUGGGCCACUUUUGGUAAGCAGAAGUGGCACUGCGGGAUGAUCAUGAUCCCACUACUUUACCUUGCCAUCAGAGCUGUGAUGUAAUACAGCACACUUGGGUUUAGGUGUAGGAAUACGCGUUCUACACAAGUUAAUACACCUUCCACAAGUUCA
rnacentral:ncRNA from 1 species